rnacentral:lncRNA from 1 species
UACUAUUAUCUUUUACUUGAUCAUCAAUUUUUAGAAUAUUAAUAUCUUAAAAAAAUUUAAACUUUGUAAAUAGAUAAAUUAUAAAUUCAAUAGUCUUUUCUUUUAUGUCGUAGUUAAAAAGGAUUAGCUUUUGAGCUAUCAAGGACAAGAACUCAAAGAAUAUAAAUAAUCAAGUGAUUUAUUUUUUAAAAAAAGAUGACUAAAA